GCUUAAAAAAAAAAAACUCCUUACAAAAAUGGCAUUUUAACCUCCAUGAUUCCAUCAUCUUCAAACUACUUUUGGACAGUUUGGAGAGAAUGUAAAACAGGGGCCUAUGAGGGAGACGAUAAAUCUCUCAAUCCUUUCACUGACGACUUAGGAGUUAGGAGUUGGGACUGAUAUGUGAAUGCUCAAGUAUAAAACUUUAGCAUAACGGAUAGUUAUAUGUAAGCUUUUUAACGUAGAACUUAUACAUUGCCUUCCAAGUGUAUAAUCGCACAUUUGUACAUGGGCUGCAUCCAUCUGGUGCCAUAUAGUGAUGUUUUCCUUAUAAAAAAUAGUAAUAAAAACAAAACAAGACCCCAAAACCGGAAAAAAAAAU
rnacentral:misc_RNA from 1 species